rnacentral:sRNA from 1 species
AGUCCCAGAAGAAAGAGGAGAUACUUGCUGAAGAUCUGGAUGGGACAAUAGAAGUUUGGGGCACAUUAAAAAGAAGCAGCAAGAACAGCAACAAAAACCUCAGAUGAUUCAAACAGGCUUCUUCUUGGCUUUGUGGAACCUUUUGCAGUUGCUCAGAAUUUGAGUUUUUGCUUCAGAGGAUGAUGAGACAAGGCAAUAGAGGGCGAGGAGGAUUAUGUUGGAUUCUUGCUUAUCUGUCUGCCUCUCCUUCCAGUUGGAAAAAUCUUCAGUCCAUAAGAAGCAUUAUCAACAAGCCUGAAGAACAUAUCUUACCCUGAUCCUGGAUGCUGUUGGAGUUGAGAAUUACAUCCACUGCACCAGGACUUUAUGGAGGCUGUUCAAGAAAAAUAGAAGGAAGCAAUACUUAAGGAUUUCUCUGUUUGCAUUAGUCCUGUGCCAUGUUACAUUUUGGAGAUUGUUUGGAACAAGUGAGGGAGGGCUCUGUCAUCUUGAUCUAGGAGGAUACCUGAGUCCCUUGACUACACAGAUGAUAUUUGGAAGGUGGCUAAAUGUGAACAAUAAUGUCUUGGAAGACAAAUUAUUUUUCAGGGGGUCGUGGUAGUGUACAAGGGAUGUUUGCACCUCGAAGCUCAACCUCCAUAGCCCCCAGCAAAGGCCUCAGCAAUGAGCCAGGGCAAAACAGCUGCUUCCUCAACAGUGCCCUGCAGGUUUUGUGGCACUUGGAUAUCUUCCGACGUAGCUUUAGGCAGCUUACAACUCACAAGUGCAUGGGAGAUUCCUGCAUCUUUUGCGCUCUCAAGGGAAUCUUUAACCAGUUUCAGUGUAGUAGUGAAAAAGUGCUUCCAUCUGACACUCUCCGCAGUGCUCUGGCAAAGACUUUCCAGGAUGAACAACGUUUCCAGCUGGGAAUUAUGGAUGAUGCUGCAGAGUGCUUUGAAAACCUCCUGAUGAGAAUUCACUUCCACAUUGCUGAUGAAACCAAAGAGGAUAUAUGUACUGCCCAACACUGCAUUUCCCAUCAGAAAUUUGCAAUGACAUUGUUUGAGCAGUGUGUAUGUACUAGCUGUGGUGCCACUUCUGAUCCGCUGCCUUUCAUCCAGAUGGUACAUUAUAUCUCCACCACUUCCCUUUGCAAUCAGGCUAUUUGUAUGCUGGAAAGACGAGAGAAACCUUCACCAAGCAUGUUUGGUGAACUGCUGCAGAAUGCCAGCACCAUGGGGGAUCUGCGGAACUGUCCAAGCAACUGUGGAGAGAGGAUCAGGAUUCGCCGUGUUUUGAUGAAUGCUCCACAGAUUAUCACGAUUGGGCUGGUAUGGGACUCAGACCACUCAGACUUAGCAGAAGAUGUUAUCCACAGCCUGGGAACCUGCCUUAAGCUGGGUGAUCUGUUCUUCAGAGUGACGGAUGACCGGGCCAAGCAAUCUGAACUGUACUUAGUUGGAAUGAUCUGUUACUAUGGCAAACAUUAUUCUACAUUCUUUUUUCAAACAAAGAUUCGCAAAUGGAUGUAUUUUGAUGAUGCUCAUGUCAAGGAGAUUGGGCCCAAAUGGAAGGAUGUGGUGACCAAAUGCAUCAAGGGGCAUUAUCAGCCCCUGCUGCUGCUUUAUGCAGAUCCCCAGGGUACCCCAGUGUCCACCCAGGACCUGCCUCCCCAAGCUGAGUUCCAGUCAUACAGCAGGACGUGCUACGACAGUGAAGAUUCAGGGAGGGAGCCCUCCAUCUCAAGUGACACUCGAACAGAUUCCUCAACGGAGAGCUAUCCCUACAAACAUUCCCACCAUGAGUCUGUGGUCAGUCACUUCUCUUCUGAUUCUCAGGGGACAGUCAUCUAUAAUGUGGAGAAUGAUUCCAUGUCUCAGAGCAGUCGGGACACAGGACACCUGACUGAUAGUGAAUGUAAUCAGAAACACACAUCCAAGAAAGGGUCACUGAUAGAGCGCAAGAGGAGCUCUGGUCGGGUUAGGAGGAAAGGCGAUGAGCCCCAGGCCUCGGGAUACCACAGUGAAGGAGAAACACUGAAAGAGAAGCAGGCUCCUAGAAAUGCCUCCAAACCAUCCAGCAGCACCAACAGGCUGAGGGAUUUUAAAGAGACAGUCAGCAAUAUGAUCCAUAACAGACCAUCCCUGGCUUCUCAGACCAAUGUAGGCUCUCACUGUGGGGGCAGGGGAGGAGACCAGCCUGACAAAAAACCUCCUAGGACCCUGCCUUUACACUCUCGUGACUGGGAAAUAGAGAGUACCAGCAGUGAGUCAAAAUCCAGUUCUUCCAGCAAGUAUCGUCCAACAUGGAGACCCAAACGAGAAUCUCUGAAUAUUGACAGUAUCUUUAGUAAGGACAAAAGGAAGCACUGUGGCUAUACCCAGCUUAGCCCCUUUUCUGAGGAUUCAGCUAAAGAAUUUAUACCAGAUGAACCAAGCAAGCCACCUUCUUACGACAUUAAAUUUGGUGGACCAAUCCCUCAGUACAAGCGCUGGGGCCCAGCACGGCCAGGCUCUCACCUUUUAGAGCAGCACCCCCGACUAAUCCAGCGAAUGGAAUCUGGCUAUGAAAGCAGUGAGAGGAACAGCAGCAGCCCUGUCAGCCUGGAUGCAGCCCUGCCUGAGAGUUCAAAUGUCUACAGGGAUCCAAGUGCUAAGAGAUCAGCUGGGUUGGUUCCUUCCUGGCGUCAUAUCCCAAAGUCGCACAGCAGUAGCAUCCUGGAGGUAGACUCCACGGCAUCCAUGGGUGGCUGGACAAAGAGUCAGCCUUUCUCAGGUGAGGAGAUAUCUUCUAAAAGUGAACUGGAUGAAUUGCAGGAAGAGGUGGCCAGGAGGGCGCAGGAACAGGAACUUCGAAGAAAACGGGAGAAGGAGUUAGAGGCAGCAAAAGGGUUUAACCCUCAUCCUAGCCGCUUCAUGGACUUGGAUGAACUGCAGAAUCAGGGGAGGAGUGACGGCUUUGAGAGGUCCCUGCAAGAGGCAGAGUCAGUGUUUGAAGAGUCACUGCAUCUGGAACAGAAAGGAGACUGUGCUGCAGCUUUGGCUCUCUGUAAUGAAGCUAUCUCUAAACUAAGACUUGCCCUGCAUGGUGCCAGCUGUAGCACGCACAGCAGAGCCCUAGUCGAUAAGAAGUUGCAAAUCAGUAUUCGAAAAGCACGGAGCCUGCAGGAUCGCAUGCAGCAGCAGCAAUCACCACAGCAGCCGUCGCAGCCCUCAGCCUGCCUCCCAACACAGGCGGGGACUCUCUCUCAGCCAACAAGGUAGUGCUUGGGAACCAUGUUAGUUUAUGAAUGCCAGGGGAAGAAAUGACCAUGAGUAGUCUAUAGCAAGAGCUCUCAUUGUCUUGGUGACUGAAGGGGAGAGAGGAGUCCUCUGAAAAGAUUUUCUUCUUUCAGGUCAGACAUACAGUGAAAAGCUCAUUGUACUGCUGGUCCUUAUCUUAAUAAUUCCUAGGAUGCAAAAAGUACAGCAUAAUAAGACCAUUUGUCCACAUUUCCCAUGGGUAACUUUAGCCCUGGACUUGUGUAAUAACGCGGUUAUGAUAUUUGCAUAUAUUAUGUUCUUAGACAUGGCAAUCCAGGCUACAUUUCAUGUUGUAGUAGCUACCAUGUGACUUAUUUUGGGAUUUCAGUGCUUCCUAUCCUUAUGGAAGCAGAGAAAGCAGUCUUUCUUGCUCUGAUUGCACCAUAGAGAAGAGACACAAAGAUUCCCUUUGCUUUGCUUCUUUAUGGUCAGGAAUAGGAAAGAAGUUCCAGUAGUCAUUGUUGUAGUUCUCACAUCUUAGCCCUGGAAUUUGGCUUUUACUUAGAAUAGAUGAAUUUAAAUAAACAUUAAUUUGGACCGUUAAUAAUUCUGAGUAGUUUUCAAAAUAUAAAUCAAUAAAAGCAGUUAACUUUUUUUUUUUUUUUUUUGGAGACAGGAUCUUGCUUUUUCACCCAGGCUGGAGUGCAGUGGCAUGAUCACAGCUUACUGCAGCCUCAGCCUCCUGGGUUCAGUGUUCAAAAGGCAAAUGUUCAAAAAUAGUUAACUGCUAGGCAUGGUAGCUCACGCCUGUAAUCCUAGAAUUUUGGGAGGCUGAGGAGGGCAGAUUAUUUGAGUCAAAGAGUUUGAGACCAGCCUGGGCAACAUGGUAAAACCCUGUCUCUACAAAAAACACAAAAAAUUUAGCUGGGCAUGGUGGUGCAUACCUGUGGUCCCAGCUACUUGGGAGGCUGGGGUGGAAGAAUCGGUUAGCCUGGCAGGUCAAGGCUGCAGUGAGCCGUGAUGGCGCUGCCACACUCCAGCCUGGGUGACAGAGCAAGACCUUGUCUCAAAGAAAAAAAAAAAAA